rnacentral:lncRNA from 1 species
GUAAAGUUUAAUUUACAAACUAGGCACAAAAAGAGAUUAAUAGUAAUAACUAAUAAUAAAAUAGAACAAUUAUAACAAACACCAGCAUCCCUACUCUUGUGCUUUGGGGCCAUUAUGAAGACAUAUAAAGAUGACUUGAACACAAGCACUAUGACACUAGGACAAUCAAUCUGAUCAUUGAAAUGGGGCUUCUAAGAGGAUGGUAGUAUAAACAGUGUAGAGAUGCUGGACAAAGGGAGGAUUCAUGUCCUGGGUGGCAUGGAGUGGGACUGAGAGAUUUCAUUGUGAUCCUUAGAAUGGUGCACUGUUUAAAACAGGGUUCUCCAACCCUGUUAGGAACCAGGCUGCACAGCAGGAGGUGAGCAGAGGACUUGCAGGAUUCCAGCUCCUCAAGCCCUUCACACUCCACAAUAUUCCCCCACUCAGUCAACAUUCUCAGUGAAGAUCUUCAACCAUGUGGUAGCACUGGAGUCUCUCGGAGCCUACUCUGGUUUAGGGGCUUCCCGAUUCACAAAUCAUUCUUUGCUCAACUGAACUCUGUUAAAUUUAAUUUGGCUUAAGAUUUUUCUUUUAACAUCAGACACAUAC